rnacentral:sRNA from 1 species
UACUACGCGGAGCUCGCGGUCCUCCUGGA